GGCUCUUCCGCUCCGUGUCUUAAUGAAUAAAUCGGGCGGCGCUCUUGAAUCGGGCACGGGCGAGAGACGGGCGCAUGCGUGGCCUUGCCUUCUUCUUCUCCAUAGGUCCCAUAGCUUGUCCUGCUGGCAUUGUCCCUGAGCUCUUCCCGCCUUUUUUGAGAGAGUGAGAGCGCGUGCGUGCGGGGCCACGCCCAUAACCGCUCUUUUCCCUCAGCAAGCGCGGCCUCCAGUUUCUCUUGAGGGGAAGACUUGGCUAUGGAUAAACGGAUGAAUACUGGCUGUUCUCAGAAUCACUUCCACUCCUCUGCUUAAAAACAAAUCCGGACUAUUUUCAAUGGCUUAAACAGCUGGCACUUUCAGACCUCUGCUUUUAACUUUUUGGAUCCUGUUCUCUUCUUUUGGACACUGCUCUCUGUAUAAAUGCUGAUGGAGUCACUGGCCACAAAAACAUUGUUGUUUAAGGACUUCAGCCCUGAAGAGGCAGAGACAUACUGGCUCCAGGCUGAGGGACAGAGAUCUGACAGAGAGGUGCAUAGUUAGCAUUUAAUAUAUGUAAGACAUUAACAUGCUCAAUUUGCUUAACAACAGAGCUGGCACAGGAACAUUUUGCAUAUAAGGUAAGAACUCCCAUGGACAUGGAAUAGGAGAACUGAUAAACUUUCAGAUAAGUCAUUCUGAUUUUUCAAACCGUAAAUACCCCCCUCCAGUUUCCUUUCUAUUACUUUGUUUAAAAGCAAUUGGAGGGAGAGGGAAAGGAAUUGGUUUAUCAUGUCAUUUUAUGGCCUAACAUUAGGGUUAUGCUGCCCCAACCAAAUUUUGGUUGAUUAGAGUGCUGAUUAAAAGUCCAGAAUUAUUGGUUAAUUCUUUCUUAGUGGAAGCUAAGGAUAGUAAGAAAUCUUAUGUUUCCAAAUAAGAG